AUUGAACGCUGGCGGCAGGCCUAACACAUGCAAGUCGAGCGAGCGGCGGACGGCUGAGUAAUGUAUGGGGACUGCCCGAUAGAGGGGGAAAACUACUGGCAACGGUGGCUAAUACCGCAUAAUGUCGGAUAACCCAUAUGGGAUUCGCUAGUAGGUAAGGUAAUGGCUUACCUAGGAGACGAUCCCUAGCUGGUCUGAGAGGAUGAUCAUCCACACUGGUACUGAGACACGGCCCAGACUCCUACGGAGGCAGCAGUGGGGAAUAUUGCACAAUGGGGGCAAGCCUGAUGCAGCCAUGCCGCGUGUAUUAAGAAGGCCCUAGGGUUGUAAAGUACUUUCAGUCGGGAGGCGUUACCGACAGAAGAAGCACCGGCUAACUCCGUGCCAGCAGCCGCGGUAAUUC
rnacentral:rRNA from 1 species